GGACUUCCCUACAGCUGAACAGCUUCUGUUGUAAACAGUUGUCUGAGUCCAGCCAUCUCAGGGUCAACUUCUCCAUCCUGAUGGCAGGAUCAAACAAGUUCACACUCCCAGGCCUAGGAACUCCUAUCCCACUUCUCCCAGUGUCUGCUGGACUGUCUGCUAACUGGUAAAGAAUAUAGAAAGUGCUGUUAUCUAAACCAAGGCCAGAGUCCAGGAGGGGACCUGACUGCAAAAACUGAAUUAGGACCUUGAAGCCAGGUGCCUGGACAUAGCCCAGUCUCCAACAGAUCCCCCAGGCUCUGAGAAGCUCUCACGUGCGGGAACUCUGGGACAUAGCGUUGCAGAUGACCCAGAACUUUUGAUCCUCUGUCUUCAUGUCUCAAGGCUGGACAUAUAAGCAUGCGCCACCACACUGGUUUCAUAUAUCUACCUCUAAAGAACCCACAAAAUGCUGCAAGAUUCAUGGCUCAUUUGGCCAUUACUGGAAACAUCAAUUAUGGGCUAUCCUGGACCUUUGAGGACUGAGUGAUGAUGUUCCUAGUAUUCCCUGGAUGUGAUAUUGUCAGCCCAGAAUAAAAGGGCUGUGUAAGUGC